rnacentral:rRNA from 1 species
AAUGAACGUUGGCGGCGUGGAUUAGGCAUGCAAGUCGAGCGAGAAACUCACUUUUGAUCUUUCGAGUGAAAAAGUGAGCGGACAGCGGCGAAAGGGAGAGUAACGCGUAGAUCACGUACCCAAGGGCUCGGAAUAGCGGGGGGAAACCGCCGGUAAUGCCGAAUAAUGUCUCCGGACCAAAGAUUUAUCACCCUUGGAGCGGUUUGCGUACUAUUAGUUUGUUGGUGGGGUAAAGGCCUACCAAGGCAAAGAUGGUUAGCGGGUGUGAGAGCAUGGCCCGUCUCACUGGGACUGAGACACUGCCCAGACACCUACGGGUGGCUGCAGUCGAGAAUCUUCCGCAAUGGACGAAAGUCUGACGGAGCGACGCCGCGUGCGGGAUGAAGGCCUUCGGGUUGUAAACCGCUGUCAUAGGGGAGGAAAUUUUGACCGAUCCUAAGAGGAAGCACAGGCUAAGUUCG